GCCAGGAGUCCGACUCCUCCUCUUCCUGUGUGGAACCUGGAAUUCAAACGGCUGGGGCCUCACUCACGGCAUAUGGAACUAACCACGCCCCUAACUAAGAAGGCACACCUUAGUUGCAGUUAGCACACAAUUAAAGCAACUCUCCAAGUUUUACCUUAAAGUUCAAAAUUGCUAGGAGUUGAAACUACUAGAAAUAUAUUUACAUGCAAGAGUCAAAGAAACUUUGAACUAUUUAUGGCCUUUAAUAAUUAAGUAAGGUAUACUCCUGUGAUCAAGACUUGGAGCAUAUUUGUUUCUCUCUGCCUGGUUCCUCUAGAAAUUGGAAACUAUCAGAACAGAGACCAACUCCGUUUCCCGAUCCCUUUGCAAUCUGCAUUGAACCAUGAGUCAAGUUCUUGAUAAAGGAGUGAAAAUGGAUGACAUUUAAGGCACAUCUGAAGAUGGGGAAACCACAGCACAGAAUAAGGCUGGGCCCUUGAAUCAAUAAAUGAAGGAGAACUACUCAAGAGAACAAAACCACCAGCAAUAUCCACCUGUAUUUGUCUUUUCAUAAUGUGUGACACAUGUGCUCAUGGAUUAUUGUCCGAAGCAAGACAUGUGACCAAGCCUAACAUCAACUGGGUGAAGAGCUAUAUGUUCCUUUCUCAAGAGGCACUACAAGUGACAUGCCACUGGGCAGCACUGUUCACAUUAUGUAAGUGAUAAAAUUGACCUAAAUAUCCAUCAAUGGACAAAUAGAUCAAGAAAACAUGAUAAACAUACACAGUGGAAUACUAUACAGCUACAAAAAGAAUGACCUUCUGUCAUUUGUGACAACGUGGAUAAACCUGCAGGACAUUCUGUUAAGUGAAAUCAACCAGGUACAGAAAAACAAAUAUUGCAUGAGCUCACUCAUAUGUGGAAUCUAAAGUAAUUUUACUCAUUGACCAACCUCUUUCCAUCCCCCAUCCCCUUUUCUCUCCUCAACCUCUGGUAACUGCUGUUCUACUCUUUAUUUCUAUGAGACCACAGUUACAGUUAGAUAGGAAGAAUAAAUUCUGGUGUUCUAUUACAUAGCAGAGUGACUACAGCUAAAAAUAGUGUAUUAUAUAUUUCAAUAUAGCUAGAGAAGAAGAUCUUGAAUGUUAUCACCACAAAGAAAUGAUAAUGCUGUGGUAAUGGGUAUGUUAAUUAUCCUGAUAUGAUCAUUAAACAAUGCAUAUAUCUAUUGAAACAUCACAGUAUACCCCCAAACAUGUACAAUUAUUGUGUCAAUUAUAAACAAAAAUAAGAAAGAAAAUUCAGAAGGAGGGAUUUUUUUUUAAUCUUGUCCUUUUUUGUUCACA
rnacentral:lncRNA from 10 species